rnacentral:lncRNA from 1 species
CCGGAAGGGUAAGCAUUUCAUGCACCGUAUACGGCACCGUCGUGUUAUUUCUUUGUUCAGUUCGGUAAUGAUGGAAGGUUCUUAUGACUGAGGAAGAAUAUCAGAUACGAUAUCUGACACACUUUUGUCAUAAUGGCCAAUCAGAUCAUGAUGGCGACCGUAAAAUUUCUUGAGUGAUGACCUUAAUUUGAUUGGUUCAUAGCCCUGUCUUAGCAACUUUUGAGAAAGCAGUAUUCCUCGUUCAACAAAAUCAACGUACUUUGAGCUAGCUCUAGAGUAACGUAUCAAUUGAGACACAUAUACUGCAUAUGGUGGUGCCGACUGGAUGUUGCUACACAGAAAUUGAAAGUUGACCAUAGGAAAAUUAAAAUCAUCGCGUUUGUCAUAAAUUUUGGUAUUCAACCUACCAUCAGUAGU